UUAAAGUGGCCAAGCUACAACACCAAACACUUCAGUGCCGAUAUUGCUGGAGUUCAGCACAGCCAAGAGAUGCUGAACAGACAGCUGUUUUCUGCAGGAGGCUCACUCGUGUUUACAGCUGCUGAAGAAACCAAGAUGUGUUAAGAGGACUGAAACCCAC
rnacentral:lncRNA from 12 species